UACGUAGGGGCCAAGCGUUGUCCGGAUUUAUUGGGCGUAAAGAGCGUGUAGGCGGCUGGGUAGGUCCGCUGUGAAAACUCGAGGCUUAACCUCGAGACGUCGGUGGAAACCAUCCAGCUAGAGUCCGGAAGAGGAGAGUGGAAUUCCUGGUGUAGCGGUGAAAUGCGCAGAUAUCAGGAAGAACACCCGUGGCGAAAGCGGCUCUCUGGGACGGUACUGACGCUGAGACGCGAAAGCGUGGGGAGCGAACAGG
rnacentral:rRNA from 1 species